rnacentral:rRNA from 1 species
GUGGGGAAUAUUGCGCAAUGGGGGAAACCCUGACGCAGCGACGCCGUGUGAGGGAAGAAGGCUUUCGGGUCGUAAACCUCUGUCAGAAAGGAAGAACCUCCCAAGUCCGAAUAGGGCUUGGGACUGACGGUACUUUCAAAGGAAGCACCGGCUAACUCCGUGCCAGCAGCCGCGGUAAUACGGAGGGUGCAAGCGUUAAUCGGAAUCACUGGGCGUAAAGCGCGCGUAGGCCGCUUUGUAAGUCGGACGUGAAAGCCCUCGGCUCAACCGGGGAACUGCGUUCGAUACUGCGAGGCUUGAGUCCUGGAGAGGGUGGCGGAAUUCCGGGUGUAGGAGUGAAAUCCGUAGAUAUCCGGAGGAACACCGGUGGCGAAGGCGGCCACCUGGACAGGUACUGACGCUGAGGCGCGAAAGCGUGGGGAGCAAACAGGAUUAGAAACCCGAGUAGUCC